rnacentral:rRNA from 1 species
GUGUCAGCAGCCGCGGUAAUACGUAGGUGGCAAGCGUUGUCCGGAUUUAUUGGGUUUAAAGGGUGCGUAGGCGGCCUUAUAAGUCAGUGCUGAAAUAUCCCGGCUUAACCGGGAGGGUGGCAUUGAUACUGUAGGGCUUGAGUAAAGUUGAGGUUGGCGGAAUUGACGGUGUAGCGGUGAAAUGCUUAGAUAUCGUCAAGAACACCGAUAGUGAAGACAGCUAACUAAGCUUUAACUGACGCUGAGGCACGAAAGUGUGGGGAUCAAACAGGAUUAGAAACCCCCGUAGUCC